UUGACCUCAAAUCGGGUGAGACUACCCGCUGAACUUAAGCAUAUCAAUAAGCGGAGGAAAAGAAACUAACAAGGAUUCCCCUAGUAACUGCGAGUGAAGCGGGAAAAGCUCAAAUUUAAAAUCUGUUGGUCUUUGGCCAUCCGAGUUGUAAUUUAGAGAAGCGUUUUCCGCGCUGGACCUUGCACAAGUCUCCUGGAAUGGAGCGUCAUAGAGGGUGAGAAUCCCGUCUUUGGCACGGACACACCAGGGCUUUUGUGAUGCGCUCUCGAAGAGUCGAGUUGUUUGGGAAUGCAGCUCAAAAUGGGUGGUGAACUCCAUCUAAAGCUAAAUAUUGGCGAGAGACCGAUAGCGAACAAGUACCGUGAGGGAAAGAUGAAAAGCACUUUGGAAAGAGAGUGAAACAGUACGUGAAAUUGUUGAAAGGGAAACGCUUGAAGUCAGUCGCGUCGACCGAGACUCAGCCUUGCCUUGGCUUGGUGUACUUCUCGGCUGACGGGUCAGCAUCAAUUUUGCCCCUUGGAUAAUGGCGAGGGAAAUGUGACACCUUUAUGGUGUGUUAUAGUCCCUUGUCGCAUGCAAGGGUUGGGAUUGAGGAACUCAGCACGCACCUUUGGGUGUCGGGGCUUGCCCACGAUACGUGCUAGGAGUGCUA
rnacentral:rRNA from 1 species